GCAUAUCAAUAAGCGGAGGAAAAAGAAACCAACAGGGAUUGCCUCAGUAACGGCGAGUGAAGCGGCAACAGCUCAAAUUUGAAAUCUGGCCUCGGCCCGAGUUGUAAUUUGCAGAGGAUGCUUCUGGUGCGGCACCGACCGAGUCCCCUGGAACGGGGCGCCAUAGAGGGUGAGAGCCCCGUAUGGUUGGACGCCUAUCCUGUGUGAAGCUCCUUCGACGAGUCGAGUAGUUUGGGAAUGCUGCUCAAAAUGGGAGGUAAAUUUCUUCUAAAGCUAAAUAUUGGCCAGAGACCGAUAGCGCACAAGUAGAGUGAUCGAAAGAUGAAAAGCACUUUGAAAAGAGGGUUAAAUAGCACGUGAAAUUGUUGAAAGGGAAGCGCUUGUGACCAGACUUGCGCCUCGUCGAUCAUCCGGGGUUCUCCCCGGUGCACUCGGCGGGGCUCAGGCCAGCAUCGGUUUUCGCGGGGGGACAAAGGCCCCGGGAACGUAGCUCCUCCGGGAGUGUUAUAGCCCGGGGCGUAAUGCCCUCGCGGGGACCGAGGACCGCGCUUCGGCAAGGAUGCUGGCGUAAUGGUCAUCAGCGACCCGUCUUGAAACACGGACCAAGGAGUCAAGGUUUUGCGCGAGUGUUUGGGUGUAAAACCCGCACGCGUAAUGAAAGUGAACGUAGGUGAGAGCUUCGGCGCAUCAUCGACCGAUCCUGAUGUAUUCGGAUGGAUUUGAGUAGGAGCGUUAAGCCUUGGACCCGAAAGAUGGUGAACUAUGCUUGGAUAGGGUGAAGCCAGAGGAAACUCUGGUGGAGGCUCGCAGCGGUUCUGACGUGCAAAUCGAUCGUCAAAUCUGAGCAUGGGGGCGAAAGACUAAUCGAACCAUCUAGUAGCUGGUUACCGCCGAAG
rnacentral:rRNA from 1 species